GAACCCAUAACCUCUGGACCUACCGGGCCCAUAACCUGUGGACCUACCGGGCCCAUAAUCUCGGGACCCACCAGUUGUAGGGACCAAACAGUCCAAAUUACUCCCAGACCUGGAACCACUCAAGAGAGAGAGAGAGAUUAUCGGCCUAAUGUUCACACCGAAAUGACUAGGUCUUUUCCAGGCCUCUUUGGACCCAAAGGAAAGCGCCGCUGCCGAGGGAUCAACAACUUCACACCUGUGAAGGAAAUCCAGUUUACGUUUUAUUUGUUGCCCAAGUUGUCUGAGCGUACUCCGAAUGGUAGUGAAGAAUUUUUUCACCUGCAAGCAGGCUUGGGACGACGUUCUACAUUAAUACCAGAG